rnacentral:rRNA from 1 species
GACGAACGCUGGCGGCGUGCUUAACACAUGCAAGUCGAACGGAAAGGCCCUGCUUUUGUGGGGUGCUCGAGUGGCGAACGGGUGAGUAACACGUGAGUAACCUGCCCUUGACUUUGGGAUAACUUCAGGAAACUGGGGCUAAUACCGGGUAGGAGCUCCUGCUGCAUGGUGGGGGUUGGAAAGUUUCGGCGGUUGGGGAUGGACUCGCGGCUUAUCAGCUUGUUGGUGGGGUAGUGGCUUACCAAGGCUUUGACGGGUAGCCGGCCUGAGAGGGUGACCGGCCACAUUGGGACUGAGAUACGGCCCAGACUCCUACGGGAGGCAGCAGUGGGGAAUAUUGCACAAUGGGCGGAAGCCUGAUGCAGCAACGCCGCGUGCGGGAUGACGGCUUUCGGGUUGUAAACCGCUUUCGCCUGUGACGAAGCGUGAGUGACGGUAAUGGGUAAAGAAGCACCGGCUAACUACGUG